UGCAAAAACCUGCAACAGAGAAGUCAUGAUAAAAGAAAAGCAUUAGCUGAAAUCAAAGCCAUCAUUGAAUUAUAAGCAUAAGAUGAACAUUGUCCAACAUGAACUACAAACUUCAAACAUUUAAAGUAUAUUUUCAAGUAAAUCUAACUUUGAAAUUUUCUUUACAUAAGAGAAAAGACACCAUCUGCAUAAAACUUUUCCAGUUAACAAGGAA
rnacentral:misc_RNA from 1 species